CCCACAUUUCUGGUGGGAUUGCUUUAUACCAACGAUCGCCAUUUCCAUUCCUUUGCAGUUUGCACAUGUUGGACAAUGUCAGGGCCAGCUGGAGUCCACCACGCACUACGCGUUGAGGCAGGGCCUGGACCUGCAAGCGGCACGGAGCGCAGAGGAUCGGCUGCCACCCGCGUUCCGGGCAAGGGAACAGAGUGCAGUGAACAACAAUUUCUCAUUUUCUUCUCAUGACAACAGGCACUGUCUACAGAAUGUAGGAGAGUAUUUUGAUUUGGGUUUGGGCCGAAGGAAGGUGGAACCACACAGAAGGCAGCAGAACUCACAGAAUUUCUUCCAGUGGGCUUCAGAACCGGUUAGAAGGAGCGAAGAUGGCUUAACCACUUAUCAGAUAUCAUUUGUGAAAUACAAGAGCACGAUCUCUAGGCAGCACCCAAAGCACUUCUCAGAAAAAUCCUGCGCUAACAAAGCCUGUUCCUCAGAAUGAAAACAACAUGCAGCCAAAUAAAUCAUCUUAAUUACAAUACCCUCUUUGUAGCACUGAUUUAUCAUCAUCAGAGCCUUUUCUGGAGAUCUCAACUACUUGUCACUCAAAGGAUGAAAUAAACACGUGUAAAGUGAAUAAAGUAAUACAGCUGAGAGUUCAUUAAAUCAGCAUUCCUGUGCUACUCUGAAGACUUGCUCAAAAAAUGCAGUGAUGAGCACUAUGAAGAAAAGCAUGAUGGUACAUACUUUCAGAAAUACCUGUAUUACGAAUACAGAGGUAGGGACUGUAGUUGUGUUAUUUGAUACUGGUUGAUGGUGAUCUUCAUACAAAAGCCCCUUCAACUUCAGGAUCAAUGGUAUCACUGUACCUCAUGCAGCUGACAGCAUCUGUGUUGACAGAACUGUAUAAUGGAACUGAAUCUUUGAGGGUUCACUGCAGCAGAGAACCAAAACUGCACGUUCAGGUAUGAGAUAAACUUUUCUGAAAGGUUGUAUGGAUAUGAAUGUGUGUUACUUGCAGUUAGGGAAACUAGAUAACAGAACCUGAGUGUUAGAUUGCAGUGCAAGAUGGUAGAUCUGGAAAAUGUAAGUGUAUGCAUGUAGGUAUGUGUCACUCAUGGCAGUAAGGCAAAAAGAAAAAAAGCUCAGGCUGGAAGUGGAAGUGUCUGCAAUGUGGAGGCUGAGGUGGGCUAGCUCUGGGAAGGACUGGUGCUUUUGUAGUUAUGUGUCCCUCAGGAGGUGGAGUCAGAACCAGUCCUUCAAAGGCUGCUCCU